GAUGAACGCUGGCGGCGUGCUUAACACAUGCAAGUCGAACGGGAAAUAUUUCAUUGAGACUUCGGUGGAUUUGAUCUAUUUCUAGUGGCGGACGGGUGAGUAACGCGUGGGUAACCUGCCUUAUACAGGGGGAUAACAGUCAGAAAUGGCUGCUAAUACCGCAUAAGCGCACAGAGCUGCAUGGCUCAGUGUGAAAAACUCCGGUGGUAUAAGAUGGACCCGCGUUGGAUUAGCUAGUUGGUGGGGUAACGGCCCACCAAGGCGACGAUCCAUAGCCGGCCUGAGAGGGUGAACGGCCACAUUGGGACUGAGACACGGCCCAGACUCCUACGGGAGGCAGCAGUGGGGAAUAUUGCACAAUGGGGGAAACCCUGAUGCAGCGACGCCGCGUGAAGGAAGAAGUAUCUCGGUAUGUAAACUUCUAUCAGCAGGG
rnacentral:rRNA from 1 species